CGGCGGACGGGUGAGUAACGCGUGGGUAACCUGCCUCAUACAGGGGGAUAACAGUUGGAAACGGCUGCUAAUACCGCAUAAGCGCACAGUACCGCAUGGUACGGUGUGAAAAACUCCGGUGGUAUAAGAUGGACCCGCGUUGGAUUAGCUAGUUGGUGAGGUAACGGCCCACCAAGGCGACGAUCCAUAGCCGACCUGAGAGGGUGACCGGCCACAUUGGGACUGAGACACGGCCCAA
rnacentral:rRNA from 1 species